UUCUUAAAUAUGGGGAGCUCGUGAAACGGGCUGAGAGUUCCGUCAGUAGACGGAUGACCCUUUGAACCUGUUCGGAUAAUGCCGGCGGAGGGACAUGAACGUAGAACGCG
rnacentral:ncRNA from 2 species